UCUAACCCCCUUACGCAUCACAUGGUGUCGCCCGUAUGACUCACAAUUAAAAAAGAGCGAACUGGUAGCCUAGUCUACUUUCAAUUUUUCGGAGGAAUGAUAAUACUUUAGUUUCUCAUCCGCUUUUUGGAGGGGAGGGGAGGUGUGAACAUUGUUCCGAGGAUGUUAUAUGUUUUGUUAUUGUGCUUACAGGUUAAUGGUAGGACGGAAUACACACUCGGUUAAAUUUGACACGGCCUCCCCUUAAAAGCGAAAGGACCAACACACGCGCGCUCGGCUCGCAGAGCAACGGAGGAAAACUCCUGAUGCAAAAUGGAAACUGUGUCAACGGGUAAACACAGGCUCUCGGUGCACGAGGGCAUACGAGUUCAUGGCAGCGCUCAAUUCUAGUGGUCGAGUUCGUUUUGCAAGUCCCGGUGCCCCGGUUUGCAGGAUUUUGCUUAUUUUAGACCACUCUCUUGGUCCUUAGGUGACGUCUUCAUUCAACCGGGGCAACGGACCAUGCAAAACGAACUCGCCUAGUGAAAACGGAUAUGGCUGGCGUAACGUCAGAGCUGGGGCGGGUUCAUGUGAACCAUCUUUAGGACACGGUGAAGAAUGAGGGCCUGAACCCGGUGAACCGCACGACUACUUACUGUACCGAGGGCUCUAGCCUGCUUCCUGCUGCGCCGCUCUAUAGGCAGAUAAUUACAUUAAAUCCGAGAAUAUAGAGGACCUGAGCCGUAGGACCAUGCCUCAGGACUACCUGGCAUGAUGACUCCUUGAUGUCCCCAGUCCACCUGGCCGUGCUGCUGCUCCAGUUUCAACUGUUCUGCCUGCGGCUAUGGAACCCUGACCUGUUCACUGGACGUGCUACCUGUACCAGACCUGCUGUUUUCAACUCUCUAGAGACAGUAGGAGCGGUAGAGAUACUCUCAAUGAUCAGCUAUGAAAAGCCAACUGACAUUUACUCUUGAGGUGCUGACUUGCUGCACCCUCGACAACUACUGUGAUUAUUAUUAUUUGACCAUGCUGGUCAUUUAUGAACAUUUGAACAUCUUGGCCAUGUUCUGUUAUAAUCGCCACCCGGCACAGCCAGAAGAGGACUGGCCACCCCUCAUAGCCUGGUUCCUCUCUAGGUUUCUUCCUGGGUUUUGGCCUUUCUAGGGAGUUUUUCCUAGCCACCGUGCUUCUACACCUGCAUUGCUUGCUGUUUGGGGUUUUAGGCUGGGUUUCUGUACAACACUUUGUGGCACCAGCUGAUGUAAGAAGAGCUAUAUAAAUACAUUUGAUUUGAUUUUAAUCCAAUCACUGAACAAGCCUGUCAGAACCAUAAAUAUUCUAGAGUGUGUAGGUCUGUGUUCUGAUUCUAUCUCUAUGGCCAGAACUGUGGAACAUGGUAACUAUGAGACACCAAGGCCAUUUCAUUCUGUUGAAAACAAUAGUCAUAGCCCAGGUGGAUCGUUGUUAAAAAUGAAAGUGUGUGUGUGUGUGUGUUUGAGAUUGUUGAAGGCCAAAUAGGAAUUUAAAAGUGAAAGCUUUCCUCCACUGUCUACAGUUCAUCUCAUAUAGUCCUGUAUCUUCUUCAGUCAUCAUUGUCUGUAGGGUGCCAUUUGGGAUACACCGAUUUUACAUCACCUUCACAGCAGCAGCAGGCCCAUAAUGUUGGGUAAUCACAACUGUCUGAUCCUAGAUGAUGAAUGAUGUCUGUAAUUUUAUGUAACCCUGUAAUCCCUAAUCCGCUGGUUGCACACAUGGCUCAAUUGUUUUUUUCCCCUCUAUAGCCGUAAGGCUAGAGGUUUCCUUUAGCUAUAGCCUUAACGCCCAUUCUAACUGUCUAAACGUCCCUUUAAACUCCAUUCUAACUGUGUAAAUGUCAGCUUUAACUGUACAAACCACCAUUCUAACUGUGUAAAUGUCAGCUUUAACUGUACAAACGUCCAUUUAACUGUCUAAACGUCCCUUUAAACUCCAUUCUAACUGUGUAAAUGUCAACUUUAACUGUACAAACCUCCAUUCUAACUGUGUAAAUGUCAACUUUAACUGUACAAACCUCCAUUCUAACUGUGUAAAUGUCAACUUUAACUGUACAAACCUUCAUUCUAACUGUGUAAAUGAAUGGUAAAGAACAGUGCUCAUAA